rnacentral:rRNA from 1 species
CCUACGGGUGGCAGCAGUGGGGAAUAUUGCACAAUGGGCGAAAGCCUGAUGCAGCAACGCCGCGUGAGCGAUGAAGGCCUUCGGGUCGUAAAGCUCUGUCCUCAAGGACGAUAAUGACGGUACUUGCGGAGGCCGCCCCGGCUAACUACGUGCCAGCCGCCGCGGUAAUACGUAGGGGGCUAGCGUGAUCCGGAAUUACUGGGCGUAACGGGUGCGUAGGUGGGUUCUUAAGUCAGAGGUGAAAGGCUACGGCUCAAACGUAGUAAGCCUUUGAAACUGGGGAACGUGAGUGCAGGAGAGGAGAGUGGAAGUCCUAGUGUAGCGGUGAAAGGCGUAGAUAUGAGGAGGAACACCAGUGGCGAAGGCGGCUCGCUGGACUGUAACUGACACUGAGGCACGAAAGCGUGGGGAGCAAACAGGAUUAGAUACCCCGGUAGUC